rfam:Schistosoma rodhaini strain Burundi genome assembly, scaffold: SROB_scaffold0006976
AUCCAGUUGACGGGUCCCAAAUAAGAUGAAACGCGCGUCCUGUAU